ACGGCUCAGUAACACGUAGUUAACCUUCCCUAAGAUCGAUAAUACCCUCGGGAAACUGAGGUUAAUGAUCGAUAGAAAACGGUUGUUGUAAUACGCCAUUUUUGAAACGCAAGGUCUUAGGACGGGACUGCGGCCGAUUAGGUAGUUGUUGAGGUAAUGACUCAACAAGCCAAUGAUCGGUAAGGGCCCUUAACAGGGGAGCCCUGAGAGGGAAUCUUAGACACUAUUCCCAGCUCUAUGGAGUGCAGCAGGCGAGGAAAUUCUCCAAUGCCCGCAAGGGUGAGAGAGGAAUUCAGAGUGCUGUUAUUUUUAAUAACUGCUUUUAUUUACUCUAAAUCGGUAAAGGAAUAAGGACUGGGCAAGACUGGUGCCAGCCGCCGCGGUAAUCCCAGCAGUCCAAGUCGUGGCCACAUUUAUUAGGUCUAAAACAUUCGUAGCUUGUUUUGUAAGUCUUUUGUGAAAUGCUAUUGCUUAACAAUAGCGCGUGCAAAAGAUACUGCAUUGCUAGAGACUGGGAGGCGUAAUGAGUACGUUUGAGGUAGCGGUAAAAUGUUUUAAUCUCAAGCGGACUAACAAUUUGGCGAAGGCACAUUACGAGAACAGAUCUGACGGUGAGGAAUGAAGGCCAGGGGCGCAAAAUGGAUUAGAUACCCAUGUAGUCCUGGCAGUAAACUCUGAUUACUAAACAUUGCGUUUUCUUCGAGAGAAUGCAGUGCUGAAGCGAAGGCGGAAGUAAUCUACCUGGGGAGUAUAGCCGCAAGGCCGAAACUUAAAGGAAUUGGCGGGGGAGCAC
rnacentral:rRNA from 1 species